CUUCCAUGGCUCCUCUCGACUCCCGACAACCCUAACCUCGAGCCUAGGCAGCGCCCUAACUCCGAGUGCCGAGAGCUCCAAGCGACGCGUGAACCCGAGAUUAUUCUUACUCGCCGAAAAUUACUUCUAACAAAGUUACUCGUCCGCGGAUUAAAUCUAUGUACAUGCACCGAGCUGUGGUAUUCAUGUUGCCGUUGCGAUGUGCUUAGGUGUUCUACGUGUUACGUGAGAUGAAUGCGGUAAUUAUGAUUCAAAAUCGACCGUUGCGUCGCAGAAAAUCGAUGUAAUCGGUCGUCUCUAUAGAACGACAACAUAUUCAGCUUGAAUUACAGUCAUCUUAUAAGGAUGCGAUACUACUAAAGAGUUCAACGGUUAUUCCGUGCAAUGAUACUUGCAUACGCAUAAUUUCGUUUUAUCGUAACAAUGCCGUUAUACCGUUGAUAGCACAAAAGCAACCACUUGCGUGGAAUUAACUGGAUACUCGUGGCCACGAUCGCUCGCGUGCGAUGUUAAGAAUGUUUCUCGAGCACACCAUUGAGAAUACUUUAUCUCUUCACACAUUCGUAACAUAUACAUCGGGAGUAUUAUGGCUUGAGGCUUUCUUCCUUUUUUGUUUCUUGAAUGAAGAAACAAUACUUCUAAUAUUCGAUUAAUUAACUAAAACGUUUGAUUUCUUAUCGAAAACCAUAAUAAUAAAUUCGAAAAUAAUUUUUGUGAUUAGUUUCUAAUUUAGCAAUAUUUAUUUUAUAAUUCUUAGAGAUUUUAUUGUAAUUGAUCUUAUUAAACAAAAAGACGAAAAUUAUUUGCACGAUUUACUUAAUACAAGUUAAAAAUAUAAUAUUAAAUAAAUAUUAAAAAUAAAAAAAAAAAGGAAUCACAAUAUCAGGAUUAAAAAUCUAAAACGAAAAAGAAAAAGAAUCUUGUUCGAAGUGAUGCUUCCCAAAGUUCGUUGCUCCGUACAUGUUGUCUCCGCAUAGUCCGCGGAACAUUGGCCGUUUGCCAAAGUCAUUCUCACAUAAUUUCAGGAGAAUAUAAGUGCCAAAAAAUAUACGGAACUCAUGGUUAUAAUUCCGAUAUAAAUCUAUAAGUAAAAGAAUAAUUGCCAAGAGGUUUUUAUAAUUAAUAUUUUCAAGAAUUCUUAUAAAAUAUUAAUAUAAUGUUCGAAUUAUAUUAAAAGACUUAUGCAUAGUAUCAAAUGUAAGAAUGUUAAUAUUCUUAAUAUGUUAUAAUUUGAAUUCUAAAUCCAAUGAUUUCACAAUAAAU